AGCGAACGCUGGCGGCAGGCUUAACACAUGCAAGUCGAACGGUCCUUCGGGAUAGUGGCGGACGGGUGAGUAACACGUGGGAACGUACCCUUAGGUUCGGAACAACACAGGGAAACUUGUGCUAAUACCGGAUAAGCCCUUCGGGGGAAAGAUUUAUCGCCUUUGGAGCGGCCCGCGUCUGAUUAGCUUGUUGGUGAGGUAAUGGCUCACCAAGGCUACGAUCAGUAGCUGGUCUGAGAGAAUGGCCAGCCACACUGGGACUGAGACACGGCCCAGACUCCUACGGGAGGCAGCAGUGGGGAAUCUUGCGCAAUGGGCGAAAGCCUGACGCAGCCAUGCCGCGUGGAUGAUGAAGGUCUUAGGAUUGUAAAAUCCUUUCACCGGGGACGAUAAUGACGGUACCCGGGGAAGAAGCCCCGGCUAACUUCGUGCCAGCCGCCGCGGUAA
rnacentral:rRNA from 1 species